GUGGGGAAUAUUCCGCAAUGGACGAAAGUCUGACGGAGCAACGCCGCGUGAGUGAUGAAGGUUUUCGGACUGUAAAGCUCUGUUGUUUAGGACGAAAGUGCCUGUUGCGAACAGUUACAGGUAUUGACGGUACUAAACGAGGAAGCCACGGCUAACUACGUGCCAGCAGCCGCGGUAAUACGUAGGUGGCAAGCGUUGUCCGGAAUUAUUGGGCGUAAAGAGCAUGUAGGCGGAGAUUUAAGUCUGUUGUGAAAAUGCGGGGCUCAACCCCGUAUUGCGAUGGAAACUGAAUUUCUUGAGUGCAGGAGAGGAGAGGGGAAUUCCCAGUGUAGCGGUGAAAUGCGUAGAUAUUGGGAGGAACACCAGUGGCGAAGGCGCCUUUCUGGACUGUGUCUGACGCUGAGAUGCGAAAGCCAGGGUAGCGAACGGGAUUAGAAACCCCUGUAGUCC
rnacentral:rRNA from 1 species